rnacentral:lncRNA from 1 species
UGAUGUGUCUUUCCCAUCUGUCUUCUCUUUAAAUCUCGCGUUUCAAUUACCGCCUUUCUCCUCUCUUUCACCAGCUAUUCUGCUUUACAUGCUCUCUCAACGAGCAUCACAAAUUCUCUUAACUCUAGAAUGCCUACAAACACUCAAAUGUCUUUAUUGAGGCCAUCCUCAAACCUCUUACACAUAGUAGCUGCAGUUGAUAUAUAUUCUUGCGCAUAUUUGCUGAGCUUUACAAACUCAAGCUCAUACUCC